UAGUCUCUAAGGUGCCACAAGUACUCCUUUUCUUUUUAGUUAUGAUGAAAUUCUAUGGUCUGUUAUACAGUAGGUCAGAGUAGAUGAUCUUAUAGUCACUUCUGGCCCUAACAUCAAGGAAUCUAGUGCUUUUUGCACUAAGAUUGUGUGUACUUUGAAAUCCAACUGAAGUACAUGGGAACUGAAGUUAUUCAAUCUUUCUACAGUUGGUUAGUGUUUUCUUUACAUCCAUAACAACUCCUCUUGAGGUUAAAUAGAAUCCUCCCCAGACAAAGUUAAAGGGAAAUAUAUUCUUUGUCAAAACCUCUCCAAUAUAAAAGCAGAAGGUUAAAAAUUGUGCAGAGCAGCUUGUAUUUUCAGACUAAUAUUUAAAUUACCUACUUUUGCUAUUUGUGUGUGUGUGUAUAUAUAUAUAUAUAUAUAUAUAUAUAUAUAUAUAUAUAAUUUCUGUAUUAAGAGCCAAUCACUCAUUCAUCAUUCAAUGAACUUUUUCAAUUAUUUUAGUUUUCUGGAGUAUCAAUCAUUAUUUAGUAAAUCUCUGAUUUGUAAAAGUGGGUAAGUACAUCUGAAAUGUACUUACAGAGGAAUAAAUAAUUAUGGUCCAACUUUUUUUUUACCAAAGUCAGAGUUGUAUCUUUUUCUAAUGAAAGGCCUCACUGGAAUAAGGGUCUGCUUAGCGUGUCCCACUGAAGUCAAACCAGAAGUGAAAACCAUAUUCCAGAAGAGGACAUACCAUUAACUUAUAGCAUUCAUUUUUCCCCAGUAUUAUUUUCCAUUACUUAUGCAUUCUAACACUUUAGUUGUACCAUUUUUCACACUUUGUUUUGGCAAGGUUUUGACUGAGGUUAGUGCUAUUUAAUUGUAUCAAGCAAGUGUAAUGGUUUUCCUUGGUGAAAGAUGUAAGUUGAAGACAAAGGCUUUUUUAUAGUAGUUGCCAAUAACAGACGAUUUCACAAGUCUGCAUCAAAUUCCUUUAGGCUUCUGAAAGAAAGCAAAUAUCUUUCUAUAUAUUUGCCUGCAGGCAUCAAUACAGGUUUGGGGGGAGGGAGGUUCAUUUUUUUUCUCUCUGAGGUUUACAGAUAAUCUGUACGUGACUAGUAUGUAGGAACAUCAGUUGGCAGAAACCUGUGUGCAUCUGUGAAAAUGUUAGUGUCUGUUUCUGAAAUUUACAUUUCAAGGAGUGCUGAUCUAUAUGGAUUAGUGAUGCAUAAAUCUACCUGAUUUGUGAGCAAAGUCUUCAUCCAUUUCUGUUCAGCAGUUCUGGGAAAAACAGCUAAGGGAAUUAAUUCAAUGAACUCCUUACAAUUUACUAAUAGCAGGAGAAAUAUAUUAUGCAUAGUUGAACUUUGUUGAUCAACUUUUUUCAUUUACCUAAACCCCUCUGAAGUUUGGAUUUGGGAAUCCAUUUUAAAAGAUCCAGUUUAACCUUUGCAUUACAGCCUUUUCUGCCCAGUGAAUACUGAAGCGAAGAUUGCAACCAUAAGUUCAAUUACAGACCCCAUUUCAGUCUCUGAAACAGUCUCCUGCAGGGCUGAAAUUUUCCAUACAUGGUCUCAGUUGACAGGUGACUUUUCCCCCAUAUGUAUAAUAGAAAAUUCAUGCAGCCGUCUUUUAGCUACAUGAAACUAAACAUAAUAAUUUUCCCUGAUAAGGUAAUAUAAUUUUUUUAAUAUACACAAUUCAAAAAUGGUUGAAUGUUGAAACCUGCUAAUUAAAUAAUACUCAUUGAGGAGUAUAUGCACCAUCAAGGUGGAGAAACUAUUAUCCAAGGAAUUUUUGAAGGUCAGGAGGGACAAAUAUCACUCCUGUUUCCCCCUCUUCUCCCCCUCUCCCUCCCCCCCCAACUUUUGGGUCAUCCAAAUGCUCAUUCUUCUGACAUGGCCUGCCAGCCAGAGGAACUGCUUCAGAGACCAUUUUCACAAGGGAGAUUGGUUUGGAAGAUUGUGUGGAGAUUGUUUUAAGCCCUGCCACUAACAUCAGAAACAAAAAUACUGUAUUGCAAAGACUGAGGAUUUCAGAAGCUCUAUAGCAUUCUGCAACAUCCUGUACAUUUUAAGUUUUCACUUUAAAUAUAGUUUCCCUCCUUUUUCAGUUGGCAAGAUGCAGCUGUCAAAAUAUAGACAGCUGUGCUGUUGCCUUUUUUAAACGCAGCCUUGCAGAGAACGGUCAACCAAACAGCAACAGCCACACCAGUGUGAAUUCUUUUUGCCUUGUCCCCAUCUGUACCCCCAUUCACCUCAAAUGAAAGAUUUUACUUUCCAGCCUAACACUGAAAGGUCCCAAUAUUAUUCAGCUAAGGCGCACUUGGUCUCUCACACACAGUAAUAAUUUUCCAAUUGAUUUUCAUUAUUAUUAUGGGCUGGAUAGUGUCCUCCUGUGGUACAACCCACUCACUGAUAGCAUGGCUUUGAUGGAGCCACACAAGUGGGCUUCCCCCAUCAUCUCCCUUAAGAUUCCCAGCAUAGAAAGGCUCUCUGUGGAAAUCUCUAGGAUUUCCAUGUGAAUCUUCAGACACCCAAAUCCUAGAGGACGCAUAUCAUGUCACCCUCCCAUCCCCACAAAAUACUACCCAUCUUUCCGCUUCCCACCCCAACGUGGAUCCCAAACCCAUGCAGCUCCCAAAACAGGGUCCUGGGAAAUGGUUACAAUUAGGCUGAACCAUCCUUGCAAAUGAAGGAGGGAGGAACAUUCACAUAUUUCAGGGGCAUGCACAAACAAAGAAAAAAUGCAAAGAUUAAGAAGGUUCCCACAGCAGCCUUAACUCAUCAUUGCCCCCUUCCCCUGACCAUCAUCACCACUCCACAGGAUCUUUUCCACUUGAUGCAUAAAAGUUGGAGUAGCAUCAUGAUGCUCCAUUGUAUCUUGUUCAAAAUACUGUAUCUGCUUUGCCUGUCUAUUCCAGUUAACAAACUCAGAAAAACCACAUAUGGCUUACAUGUUUCUGCUGUGAGAGGCACAGACUAAAAGAUGAACUGAUUUGGGUGGGGGCAGGGACUGCCUGUAGUCUAGCCUUCAAAACAAUAAUUCAACUAUUUUACAAAAUGUGUUACGGUCAUGGAUGAAACAUAAGGCUGGACGUGACCUCGCAAAAGCAUCAAGUCCAGGCCCCUGUGUAACGCCAACAGACCCCAGUCGUCGGCGAGCGGGCUCAAACUGGGGACUUCUGGUGCUUAGAGCAUGAGUCUCUACAGCAUGAGCUAAAAGACAGCUGCCUGUUAUCUGAGGCUGUAGAGCAGACUCAUUUUUCUCUCUCUCUCCCAGUGGUCUUGGUGCCACUAGAUGAGUCAGAACACCACACCCAAGAGGUAUGUGGGUUACACCUGCACUGUGGCAAGAUCAAGUAAACCUCCACCAUCCCUGACAGAUAUUUGACCAACAUGUUUUUUUAAAAAAUCUUCCAGUGAUGGUGAGUCCACAGCUGCCCUUGGAGGUUAACUACCCUUUUAGUUAGAAAUGUUUUCCUAAAAAUCUAGAUGCAGGCACAGAGAGUCCAGCCUUUACUCAAUUACACUUUAAAAAUAUAACAAAAGAGAAACUGUAAGCCAAACACUGAGAAUUUUUAAAAAUAUGACUAGUGUGCAGGGAACUAGACCUUUAAAUUAUGAAGAUGAAGUUUAGAUUUUUUUCCUGCAGUUGUAAAGUUGAUCCCUGAGUCCAAGAGUUUGCAUUGCAACAGGGGGGGGAAAAUGCAGACACAUUGGAAUUAAAAUCAGUCGUAACUAGCCUAGUAAAUCAAUCACUACCAAUAGUUAAUGACCAAUGUUUGUUUCUGGCCAAAUACUUUGCCCCUUGGUUAGCUGGGCUUUUAUUGCAAGUGACAUUAAAUUUCAGUUACUAUUUCAUAAACCAAAUGCCAAUGUAAUCUUAAGUAGAGGCUAAAAAUGUGUCUGCACUAGCCUAUAGUGGUUGCGCUGGGCGUUGUUAAUUUCUUCGAGUUUAAUGUCUUGGGACCCAACUCAUCACAAUUCCUGAAAAAUUAAUGGAAAGAAAGAAAAGAGUUGGAUUCAGGACUACGAAUUUCAUGCUAGUGCCUUACUUAAAUCUUCUGUGAUUGCUGUCACUAAUAUACCAUACAGAUAAAAAUAGCACAUUGUAUUAUGAACAUACUGUACAUAUUCCUUUAAGCUCAUGUCAUGUCAAAUUUAUAAUAUCUAGUAAAAUAACAGCUGUGUAGCAAAUAUCAUUUAGUACAUUUUUGUGUUAUACUUUUGAUGUGUUUGACUUGCACUUUUAUCCUGUAUGUCCUUUUAUUCUUAGUAUAAAUAAUGCCCACCAGCUUUCUGAAGGGAAAAAAAAGUCUUACCGCACGCUCUUUAGCAGAAAUGCAGACGUGUUUGUGGCAGAAGAGAAUGAACAGUUUUUCUUAGAGGCAGUUCAAAUGUUGCAACAAUGGAGCAGAAGGACAUGAAACAUGCUGGGAUUAAACGGCAGGAAUUGCGAUGGCAAUGAAGUUGGUUCCCAAAGCCGUCUCUUUAGUCAUGGAUUGAAAGUAGUUUCAGAAUAGAAAUUGCCUCAUUUUUCUUUCUCUACUCAGAAAUACAGCUACGUAAUCAAGUAUUUUUGUCCUGCACAGGAAUAUAUUGCUGUAAACUUUUCGUGAAGCAUAGAUCACCGGCUUGAAAUGAAAUAGGAAGGGUGCGAGGGAAGCACAGUGACCUUAGACCACUAGCCUGGAGCAACGUGCUCUAAGUCUGUGUCAGGCAAAAAAUCUGAGUUGCGUGAGCUGAGAAGUAAAACAUCUUCAGACUGAAGUGUUUCUUUUUAUCCCUUCUGAAAAACCAUGUCCUGUAAACACUAAAAUGCCCUCUUUCAUAUAUAUCUAUAUAUAUCAGGGGGUAGCCGUGUUAGUCUGAAUCCACAAAAACAACAAGGAGUCUGGUGGCACCUUAAAGAUGAACACAUUGAUUUGGGCAUAAGCUUUUGUGGGCUAGAAUCCACUUCAUCGGAUGCAUGGAGUGAAAAUUACAGAUGCAGGCAUUAUUGUACUGACACAUGAAGAGAAGGGAGUUACCUCACAAGACGAGAACCAGUGUUGACAGGGCCAAUUCAGUCAGGGUGAAUGUAGUCCACUCCCAAUAAUACACACACACAAGGACAAGGUGCAUUAAUGCAACACAAGGCUAGUCACACACACACAGAGAAUAUUACAAAGUGACGGGGGGUGAAUUUUUGCCUUGAUUGGUUCGUAAGACAAGUGAAAAAAUAUUGAAGAUUCAAAAAAGGUAUGCUAUAGCUGUGCAAAAAAAAUCAUCUCGCACCGUUUGGAAAAUACCCUGCUCCAAUACAAAACAAGAUUGUAUCCAAAGCUCUGCCCUAAAAUGAUAUCCUAUUGAGGGUGUACUGUAGCAUGGGCAGCUAUUGGAAUGUUUGGAAUGUAAUUUACUGUUACAUUCACAUAACUCAGUCAUUCCAGGACCAUGUGCCAGUGAUUUCCUCAUGAGCGAACACCUUUCAUUCCCUCCUGAUGAAUCUUUCCUAGUGUGACAUUCUAUAGCUUGGGGGAGCCAUCCUGGAACCCCCAUAGUCCUCAUUUUUGUAUAAUCGUGGUCUUACAUAUAAAGUAUGCCUUGUAAGGUAUCAGGGGAAAGGUUAUGAUCUGCUGAAAGCCAUUGUUCUAUCUAAAUAUGUGUAUCAUCAACGCAUACGAAGUUAUGAGAAUUGCGUUGUAUGGUUGUCACUAAAAUAUGCUGUGGGCUUGGGCGGCACCCAGCUACUGACUCUACAGCAACAAUGACAAAGGAGGUAACCAACAUCCGGGUGGGUGCUGGUGAACAGAAAUCACCAGCCAUUGUCCCGCAAGGGAGCUACAAUUCAAUGACUCACCUGUAUGAGGCCACACCAAGGGAAUUGCUCAACCUUGCUUAGGGACUCAGCAAUGCCCCCAGACAUGCCUGGACUUGCAUUCUCCAAGCACAUGGGACAGAGGGUGUGAAAGAGACCACAGGGGCCCCAUGCUUGGCCCUUCUCCUGCCACCACCUACGCUACAAGCAACCAAGACACUGAGACGAAGACAAGACUCCAACAGACAAGACUCCAAGUUUAAGGUACAAAGCUGUUUUUUAAGGACUGCAAUAUCCAGUGGGGUGAGAAAAACUGCUUAAUCUUGUUGCUGCCCAAUCUAUUAGGAUUGAGACUGUGCGCUUAUAUUUUAUUUCUUAGGCAAAAAGUCAGUUAGUUACCAAUCACUUAAAAUCUACCUUUUAUAGUCAAUAAAUUUGUUUAUCUUUACCAGCAAGUUUGUAUGAAGUGUGGGGCAAAUCUGCUCAGGUUUGACAAAGGCUGGUGUAUGUCCACGUUCCAUUGUUGAAGUGGUGAGCCAAUUAAUAAAUUUGCACUGCCCAUCUUGAGCUAUGCAAGAUGGUAUAUUCCUGAGGUACAGUGCUGGGAGCUGGGGAGAUUUGGCUCUGGUGUCUUUCCCUGUGUGCGUAAUGAGCGGCUCUGGGAGCAUUCAUGCAAUCUAGCUGGGUGUGGGACUCCACAUGCAGUUGUGCUGAGUGAUCCCAGCGCCUGGAGGGGCUUGCUGCUGGUCACGAGCAAGGGAUUGUGAGAGACAGCCCAGGCUGAAGAGAGUUAAGGGGGCACAGCGGUCCCUCAGUCUCAGGCUGCACCCCAGGGGGAAUCCCAUCACAAUGGUGCAGAGAGCAGCGUGAAACACACAGCUUGUUGUGCUGAGCAAGAUUUGCACUUCAUACACUGGUGUAAAGAUUUUAAGUGAGGCUUUAAGUGUGGUGUCUAAGGACAGUCAGGAGGAGGCUUUUGGUUUGUUAUUUUCUGUUUGCUUAUUUCGGGAAAGGGCAGUAGGAACAGAAAAGCAGGAAAAUGACUGGAAGCAGUGGCGAUUGCAAAGUUGGAGCUUUUGAGGCUGCAAGUUGCAGAAAAGGAGAGAGAACACCAGAGACUAUUGCAAGUGAAAGAACUGGAGAUAAAGGAGAAGCGGGGAGAAAGAGAGCGAAAACACAAACUGGACCUGCCAGAGAAGCAGAACUAGAACCCACCAACCUCAGCAAUUCUCAUCGUGCCAAAAAUUCACACUUGGGACCAUUUAUAUCCUGCAUACAAGGAGACAGAUGAUAUUGCUGAACAUCUGACUACCUUUGAAAGGCUGUGUGCAGUGUAUGAGAACCCUGAUGCCAAGAGAGUUCCUACCCUGAUUAUAAAAUAAACUGAUGGAGGGUUUCAAAAGCACCUCUGUGACUUCGAAAAUCCCACCCUCUGCUUCCAGGGCAUGUGAAGUGUGGCACAAAAGGAUUAGAGAUGGGGGACUGUCUGAGACUGAAGUAUCCAGGAGGUGAUGCAACAAAACGAUAAACUAAACACAACAAGUCACCAAAUUAUAUUCAUCCAAGCGUUCUGAAGGCAUUUAAGUGUAUAAGACCUGAUCCAAAGCCGUCAGAAGGCAAUAGGAAGGCUCCCACUGACUUCAGUUGUGUUUGGCUCGGGCCAGAAGUGUGGAAUGGUCAAAUCAAAUGUUUACGGCUAUUAUUUGUGACGUUUGGUAUAAAUUAUUUUGUUGACAACAGGUAGCUACUUUGUUAAUAAGAAAUUUUAAUGACUCUGGGAGAUCAUUGUAUUUUGCUAUUCAUUCACCGAGGAAACAUUUCCACAUAAUUUUGUACAAAGGAGUGGUUAUGCCCUUAUGUAAAUAGCUUGCAAUGUGGCACCAAUUUGGCAUUAAGCACCAAAUUACUAAUCUCUUGGAAGGCUUAUUCUAAAUUCAGUACAUGUGCACUUUCUUGAUAAACACUCUCAAUCAUUAUUCCCAAAAGAAUGUAAAUUCUAUUACCUUUGCCUGUAAGUGCUGGUACUUAAAAAUGCUUGUGCAAAUGUUUGUGUGUGCAUUUACUGAGUCAAAUAUUUAACCCAUGGGGUUGGAAGAAGAGACUCUGAAAUUAUAUCUGGAAUUACAAGUGUGUAUCAGGAGCACUUCUUUUGUCUCCCCUGAAUGGGGGAAGUCUUAAGAAUUGUGAUCAAAGUUCAGCUGAACAGAGGGAAGCUAUUGUACCUCUGUAGGCUUUUCAUAUAUAUAUAUAUAUAUAUAUUUCAAAUGCAUAUUUGUGUGUGUGUGUGUGUGUUAGUGUUUCACUAUAUGUAGUAGUGUUCCUCUAAAUGUUCAAACUCUUCAUAAGGAUUCUCUCAUUCAGAUCACCUUUCAGUUUUCAAUUUACUUUAUUAAAAAUCUCAGUAAAUCAUCAUAUUGCCAACUUCUUUAACUGAAACUCAUUAAAAUAUCAGAAGAUAAUUUAUCUGUCACAUCUUAUAUAUUGCUUUUCAUAUAUCAAUUUGUCAUUUUUCUGCCUUCAUUCUCCUUUUGUAGAAACUAAGGAAUUCUUAUUUUAUUUCAAAUUUGUAUUAAUGAGGACCUCGGUGUAUAUUUUAACUGUUUUAACUCAUCCAAAAGCUUAAAUUAACUAAGUUAAAAUGUGCCCAGUUUUUUUUUACCUUUUUCAUUUGAUGAAUUAUCUUGUCUACACUGUGUUAAAUCUUUUUAAUAAUCUUUGUUGUAAUGGCAACGGUAGUAAUGAAAUGCAUCUUGUCAAAUUUUUACAUAAAUAUUUUUAUGUAUUGUAUUUUUGUGUGAUAUGAAACUCUUCAUAAAAAGGGGUAAGCUUAAGCCUCUCCUACACUAGCAAAAUUUCUCAAAAAAAUUUCAAGAAUCAUAGGAUUGGAAAGGACCUCAGGAGGUCUUCUGGUCCAGUCCCCUGCACUCAAGGCAGGACUAAGUAUUAUCUAGACCAUCCCGACAGGUGUUUGUUUAACCUGCUCUUAAAAAUCUGCAGUAACAGAGAUUCUGCAACCUCCCUAGGCAAUUUAUUCCAGUGCUUUUAACAACCCUCAUGGGAAGUUUUUCCUGAUGUCCAACCUAAAUCACCCUUGCUGCAAUUUAAGCCCUCUGUUUUUUAUCCUAUUCUCAGAGGUUAAUGAGAACAUUUUUUUAAACAACCUUUUAUGUACAGAAAACUGUUAUCAUGUCCCCCCAUAGUCUUCUCUUCUCCAGACUAAACAAAUCCAAUUUUUUCAAUCUUUCCUCAAAAGUCAUGUUUUCUAGCACUUUAAUCAUUUUUGUUGCUCUUCACUGGACUUUCUCCAAUUUGUCCACAUCUUUCCUGAAAUGUGGCACCCAGAACUGGACACAAUACUCCAGUUGAGGCCUAAUCAGAACAGAGUAGAGCAGAAGAAUUCAUUCUUGUGGCUUGCUUGCUAAUACAUUCCAGAACACUUGCUUUCUUUGCAACAGUGUUACACUGUUGACUCAUAUUUAGCUUGUGAGCCAUUGUGACCCCAGAUCCAUUUCACAGGGGUGUGGUGAGGGUAAAUAUAUUAAAGAUUGUGAGGUGCUCAGAUACAUACCAAACCUAACAUUAGACAGAUAAGCAGCUGCCAGUGUUUUAAGCACUGUGUCAUCUAAUCCUGCUCAGAAUAGGUCUGACCAACUUGGUCCUUAAAAUGCCAUUGGCAGCUCGCAGCCUGUCCACAUUAAGGCCCAGAUUCUCAUUUUCACUAAAGCUUCUUUAUACCACUCUGGCAGCAUAAGUAGUAAAUUACCCUGGGAGGUGGGAGGUUUCCAGAGCCCGAAUGUCUACACCACAACGAAAUAGCCCCCUUGACUGGACACUGGUUAUAGCAGAAUCCGUUUGAGAGGUUCCUUUAUGCAUCUGCUCUGCAACAGAAAAGGAGGUGCAUCUGACCAAGUGCAUCUGACCUAGCCUGUGCUUCCUAUUGAGCAUAAUAAAAGCCAUGUGACUCUGAAACAGGGAUGUCCUCAGGCAAGAGUGUAGCGGAACAGCCAACGGGCUGAUUGUAGGACAGAAAUCAAAGAUCAGAUUAAGAGCAGCUUUUCUUGUUAGAGUGGCCUUGUCUACACUGUAUUAAAAAAAAAAAAAGUUGUGUUCUUAACUCAAAUUAGCUAAUGAGUUAACAACUCAGGGUAAAAUCCUCGUGAAGACAAGGCAAUUUGUAGUUUUCACACAAAUUAGUAGGUUGACAUCAAGCUUAUGGGGGAUCAUUGGCUUUGACUCAGCCGGCUAACUCAUGAAAACUACAAACUGCAUUGUCUUCACUAGGAUGUUACCUCAAAGUAGCUAAUUUAAAUUAAGGACACACACCUCUCUCUCUCAACAAAGACAAAGCCAAUGAAAUGUUAGCUGGAGUUUCUGCAAGUGGAAUUCUUUGUAUGUAGUUUUGCUGUUGUUUCCAUUUCUGGUCAGAGUAAACACGA